UACGUAGGGUGCGAGCGUUAAUCGGAAUUACUGGGCGUAAAGCGUGCGCAGGCGGUUCGUUGUGUCGGUGGUGAAAUCCCCGGGCUCAACCUGGGAACUGCAUUUGUGACUGCAUCGCUGGAGUGCGGCAGAGGGGGAUGGAAUUCCGCGUGUAGCAGUGAAAUGCGUAGAUAUGCGGAGGAACACCGAUGGCGAAGGCAAUCCCCUGGGCCUGCACUGACGCUCAUGCACGAAAGCGUGGGGAGCAAACAGG
rnacentral:rRNA from 1 species